rnacentral:rRNA from 1 species
UACGAAGGGGGCUAGCGUUGUUCGGAAUCACUGGGCGUAAAGGGCGCGUAGGCGGCUUUAUAAGUCGGGGGUGAAAGCCUGUGGCUCAACCACAGAAUUGCCUUCGAUACUGUAGAGCUUGAGACCGGAAGAGGUAAGUGGAACUGCGAGUGUAGAGGUGAAAUUCGUAGAUAUUAGGAAGAACACCAGUGGCGAAGGCGGCUCACUGGUCCGGUACUGACGCUGAGGUGCGAAAGCGUGGGGAGCAAACAGG